rnacentral:rRNA from 1 species
GAUGAACGCUGGCGGCGUGCCUAAUACAUGCAAGUCGAACGCAUUGUGGUUGAAAUGAUAUGAAGAACUUGUUCAGAUUUGAUUUUCAACAUUGCAAUGAGUGGCGAACGGGUGAGUAACACGUGGGAAACCUACCUCUUAGCAGGGGAUAACAUUUGGAAACAAAUGCUAAUACCGUAUAAUAAUUAAAACCGCAUGGUUUUAGUUUAAAAGAUGGUCUUGCUAUCACUAAGAGAUGGUCCCGCGGUGUAUUAGUUAGUUGGUGAGGUAAUGGCUCACCAAGACAAUGAUACAUAGCCGAGUUGAGAGACUGACCGGCCACAAUGGGACUGAGACACGGCCCAUACUCCUACGGGAGGCAGCAGUAGGGAAGUCUUCCACAAUGGACGAAAGUCUGAUGGAGCAACGCCGCGUGUGUGAUGAAGGGUUUCGGCUCGUAAACACUGUUGUAAGAGAAGAAUGACAUUGAGUAGUAACUGUUCAAUGUGUGACGGUAU